rnacentral:lncRNA from 12 species
UGUUAUGAAAAAUAUGGUUAACUUUGGCCUUCCAUUUCUGAUAGCUGCAGGACAGUUGUUUCUUUGUUUGUUUUCCAGGACAAAGUCUGAGCAGUUUGAAUGCACACAGCAGAAGAGCUGGAGCCAGCAAUUUGGGUACACAACUGUGUAUGGACACAUUAGAAACAGUGUCAUAAGAGGGAGAAGAAAGAAGUGCACAGAGCCUGACCUGCACCUGAACUGGCAAUGGCAGAAGAGAGAGGACUUCCAGGAUGAGCUGAUGAGUAAAAGAAGUUCUGUAAGAAAAGCUGUCUCUCUGGUGCACCCUGAGCAUCCUCUGCUGGAACUCAAUAUCCUACGAAGUGGAAAUUCCCUCUCCUUGUAUAGCUGCAGCCUGGAAGAAGAGUCCUUUGAGGAGAUGCACAAGAGAGAUGUGAUCUUCAGUUUGGAAAAUGGGUCUCAGACUCUGGUGCUGCAACUCUUCUGUAGAAAUAGAGGUGCAUUCCCUAAUUUGAUCAUUUUUUGAUUUAGCCAAU